rnacentral:rRNA from 1 species
UACGGAGGGUGCAAGCGUUAUCCGGAUUCACUGGGCGUAAAGGGUGCGUAGGCGGUUGGGUAAGUCUGUCGUGAAAUCUCCGAGCCUAACUCGGAAACUGCGUCGGAUACUAUUCAACUCGAGGAAUGGAGGGGAGACUGGAAUUCUCGGUGUAGCAGUGAAAUGCGUAGAUAUCGAGAGGAACACCAGUGGCGAAGGCGAGUCUCUGGACAUUUCCUGACGCUGAGGCACGAAAGCCAGGGGAGCAAACGGG